GACGAACGCUGGCGGCGUGCCUAAUACAUGCAAGUUGAGCGCUGAAGGUUGGUACUUGUACCAACUGGAUGAGCAGCGAACGGGUGAGUAACGCGUGGGGAAUCUGCCUUUGAGCGGGGACAACAUUUGGAAACGAAUGCUAAUACCCCAUUAAAACUUUAAACACAAGUUUUAAGUUUUAAAGAUGCAAUUUCAUCACUUAAAGAUGAUUCCGCGUUGUAUUAGCUAGUUGGGGGGGUAAAGGCUCACCAAGGCGAUGAUACAUAGCCGACCUGAGAGGGGGAUCGGCCACAUUGGGACUGAGACACGGCCCAAACUCCUACGGGAGGCAGCAGUAGGGAAUCUUCGGCAAUGGACGAAAGUCUGACCGAGCAACGCCGCGUGAGUGAAGAAGGUUUUCGGAUCGUAAAACUCUGUUGGUAGAGAAGAACGUUGGUGAGAGUGGAAAGCUCAUCAAGUGACGGUAACUACCCAGAAAGGGACGGCUAACUACGUG
rnacentral:rRNA from 1 species